GAUGAACGCUGGCGGCGUGCCUAAUACAUGCAAGUCGAGCGAACAGAUGAGGAGCUUGCUCCUCUGACGUUAGCGGCGGACGGGUGAGUAACACGUGGAUAACCUACCUAUAAGACUGGGAUAACUUCGGGAAACCGGAGCUAAUACCGGAUAAUAUAUUGAACCGCAUGGUUCAAUAGUGAAAGACGGUUUUGCUGUCACUUAUAGAUGGAUCCGCGCCGCAUUAGCUAGUUGGUAAGGUAACGGCUUACCAAGGCAACGAUGCGUAGCCGACCUGAGAGGGUGAUCGGCCACACUGGAACUGAGACACGGUCCAGACGCCUACGGGAGGCAGCAGUAGGGAAUCUUCCGCAACGGGCGAAAGCCUGACGGAGCAACGCCGCGUGAGUGAUGAAGGUCUUCGGAUCGUAAAACUCUGUUAUUAGGGAAGAACAAAUGUGUAAGUAACUAUGCACGUCUUGACGGUACCUAAUCAGAAAGCCACGGCUAACUACGUG
rnacentral:rRNA from 1 species